rnacentral:rRNA from 1 species
GUCUAAAGCCAUAUCACCCUGCAUGCUCCCAAUCAUCUGGUCUUGAAAGCUAAGCAGGAUCAGGCCUGGUUAGUGCUUGGAUAGAAGACAGAUCUUCAGAAGAGACU